AUCCGGUGAACACUUUGGAUUUUCUAUUUUUUAAUUGUAACAGAUUAAAGAAUAGAAGAGAAGUCGUGUAAAUCUUAUCAUUUAGAGGAAGGUGAAGUCGUAACAAGGUU
rnacentral:rRNA from 1 species